AGUGGGAGAUCCUAGGAGCAACCCUUCCUGCAACAGCCAUCGGCCAAUUAUUUAGUGGGAUACAGAAAUCUGCAUUCAGAGCAGCCGCUCCUGCACCCGACCCGACCUGCGGAGUUUGUGGGCAAAUAAACCACAGGGCCUGAAGGCUUGGCUUCUGUGGACAUCAAUGGAUUAGGAUCAGAUACUAAAAAUACAGCUGAAGAACUGAGAGCGACCAUUCGAUGGACUGAGUUGUUUAGCUUACUUCCCAGCAAGCGUAAGAAUAGAUCUCAGUUUUCCUGCCUGGAGACUGCAGCCUCUGACAGGCCCGGAGAUGUUAAGUGAGAAUAUAGUUUUCCAUGGCUGAAAACCUGAAUCAAGAAAGGAGCCUCCAGGUGUCAAUUUGCUGGGUGAAACCCGCUCAGCUCCGGCGGGAUUCCUGGUGGGAGCACCGCAGGGAGCAGCGCCGUGGGGAGCAGCGCCGUGGGGAGCAGCAUCGCGGGAGCAGCAUCACAGGGAGCAGCAUCGUGGGAGCAGCAUCGUGGGAGCAGCAUCACGGGGAGCAGCAUCGCGGGGAGCAGCGUCGUGGGAGCAGCAUCACAGGGAGCAGCAUCGCGGGGAGCAGCGUCGUGGGAGCAGCGCUGUGUGGAGCAGCAUCGUGGGAGCAGCAUCAUGGGGAGCAGCAUCGCGGGAGCAGCAUCGUGGGAGCAGCAUCACAGGGAGGAGCAUCACAGGGAGCAGCAUCACGGGGAGCAGCAUCGUGGGAGCAGUGCCACGGGGAGCAGCAUCGCGGGGAGCAGCGUCGUGGGAGCAGUGCUGUGUGGAGCAGCACCACGGGAGCAGCGGUGCCCUGGCGAUGGCCGGGACCCUGUGGCCGAGGCACAGGAGAGCCAUCCGCGGCACACCGGGUGCUGCGGGCCGCGAGCCCUCGCCGUGAGCCUGACACAGCUGGGUGCAACCGCGUGGGGCUGACGAAAGAGAGGGAAGAGCCCUGGAACAAAGGGUCUUUCAGGCCACCGAAUGCAGGGGAGAUCCAAGGGGACAAAUCCGCUUUACAGGCAUAG
rnacentral:lncRNA from 1 species